ACACUGCCUCGGCUUGUCGCUGGUGUCAGUCUGACACAAGAGGAAAGUCCGGGCAGCACAGGGCGCCCCACUUCUGAAAGUGGAAGUUAUUGGUGACAGUAAGUGCCGGUAGAAGAAAAUAACCGCUCUGCAAAGAGUAAGGGUGAGAAGGUGGUGUAAGAGACCACCAGCCGACGGGUGAUCGUCGGGCUGUGCCGACUGGGGGCUGCAAGUUCGCGUAUACCAUCGUCUGAGGGUUGCCCGCCCGAUUUACGAUGGAGGGUAGAACGCUUGAGCCACGGGGUGACUCGUGGACUAGAUAGAUGACAGGCUAAAACAGAACCCGGCUUACGGAGGCAGUGCUUUC
rnacentral:RNase_P_RNA from 1 species